GCAGGGAAUAGUUUAAAAAGAAUUUCAGUUUU
rnacentral:tRNA from 1 species